AAACUGAGGCCCUGAGCAGGUCCUGUGAGGAGUGAGAACCUGCAACCCUGUGUUGGUGGAAGGGGGAGAGUGUAUUUCCUGGGUUGGCCUGAGGAGGAGGUGAGGGGCUGGAGUGGUUAAGAGCACUUUCUGAUCUUCCAGAGGACCAGUUCCAGAGGACCAGUUCCUAGCACCCACAUCAGGCUUUUCACAACUGCAAGUAACUCCAGCUUCGAGGGAUCCAACAUCCUCUUCUGGCCUCAGUGCCCACUGCACUUACUUAUAUGUAGGCAUGAAUAUACACAGGCACACAUACAGAGAGCUUAA
rnacentral:lncRNA from 1 species